rnacentral:lncRNA from 1 species
UUCCCCACAAGCUAAGGAGAUAAUGUCUAACAUGGGCUAUACUCCAGGUAAAGGAUUAGGAAAGUCAUUACAAGGCAGUACUAUGCCAGUACCAACCAAGUUUAAACUAGAUAAAAAAGGACUGGGUUUUUCCUAGGGGCCGUUGAGGGCUGUAUACCCAUUACUUGGAAAACAGAAGAACCUGUAUGGGUUCCUCAAUGGCCUCUUUCCUCUGAAAAAUUGGCAGCAGCCAGGGAAUUAGUAAGGGAACAAUUGGAAUUAGGACAUAUUAAAUCCUCCCAGUCACCAUGGAAUACACCUAUAUUUGUAAUCAAGAAAAAAUCAGGUAAAUGGAGGCUUUUACAUGAUCUUAGAGCUAUUAAUAAUCAAAUGCAAAUUAUGGGCCCAACACAAAGAGGCCUGCCCCUGCUCUCUAGCCUGCCUGCUGAUUGGCCUAUAAUAAUAAUUGAUAUUAAGGAUUGUUUUUUCUAUUCCACUUGCAUUGUGUGAUAGCAAGCGCUUUGCUUUUACUCUCCCUUCUGUAAAUAAUGAAGGGCCUGAUAAACGGUAUCAAUGGGUCGUUUUACCUCAAGACAUGGCCAAUAGUCCUACUUGUGUCAACUUUUUGUAGGAGAAGCAUUACAACCUGUCCGUGACGCAUUUCCAAAAUUGAGGAUAGUGCAUUAUAUGGAUGAUAUCCUCCUUGCUUCUAAUAAUAAAGUUUAGAUAAAGCUUAUAUAGAAUUAGUAAAAGAAUUAGAAAAGAAACAAUUGUUUGUAGCACCUGACAAAGUUCAGAUGGGAAAUUUAGGAGAGUUUUUGGGUACCCGAGUUACUUCACAUUAUGUAGUACCUCAAAAGAUAGAAUUGUACAAAGAUCAUUUAAAAACAUUAAAUGAUUUCCAGAAAUUGCUAGGUGAUAUAAAUUGGAUUCGCCCAUAUAUGAGGCUACCCAAUUCUGAAUUAACUCCACUCUUUGAUAUGCUGAAAGGUGACCCUCAAUUGUCCUCCCGCCCCCCUGUGCCCUCACUCCUGAGGCCCGAGUUGCCUUAGGAAAGGUAGAGAGGUGCAUAGAAAAAGCUAAAUUAUGUAGAUGGAAAGAAGGAGAGAACAUACAUUUGUGUGUCCUGAAGACGUUUCGCCAACCGACCGGAGUAUUGUGGCAAUCAGGUCCACUAUUGUGGAUUUAUCCUCAGGUGUCUCCUAAUAAAACUCUUAAAUAUUAUCUCACCACUGUAGCCCAUUUAGCAAUCUUGGGCAUUAAGUCAUGCAUUCAACAUUUUGGAGACCCCCCUCAAAAAAUUAUUACACCAUAUAAUGCUAACCAAAUACAGACCCUGAGCUCUUUAGUUGAUGAAUGGGCUCUGUUGCGUUGUAGUUAUGAUGGGGAAUUAGAUAAUCAUUAUCCUAAAGAUUCUUUAUUACAAUUUUUUACUGAACAUCCAGUGAUUUUUUCCAAAGGUUAUGACAUCUAAACCCAUACCAGGUGCACUGGAUAUUUAUACAGAUGGUUCUAAAGCAGGUGUUGGCACUUAUGUGGUUAAUUCUCAAAACCCUGUUUUAUUUCAAUAUGAUCCUGGUAACCCGCAACUAGUUGAAUGUAAAAUCGUAUUAGAAGUAUUUAAGAGGUUUGAAAUUUCCUUUAAUUUAGUGUCUGAUUCAGCAUAUGUAGUGAAUGCAGUAAAAGCAUUGGAAGUUGCAGGACCCAUCAAAUCUACCAGCCCUGUAUGUGCUAUUUUGUCAGAAUUACAAAACUUGAUUUGGAAUAGGAAAAGUAAAUUUUUUAUUCAGCAUAUUCGGGCUCAUUCUACUCUGCCAGGCCCUAUGACUGAAAGGAAUGCCCUGGUAGAUGCAAGUACUCGUAUGGAAUUCAUUUUUCAUGUUACUCCAUUAGAGCUUGCAAAAGGUUUUCAUCAAUUGUAUCAUGUCCCCGCUGCCACAUUGCAGUAAAAAUUUAAUAUUUCCCGGGCCUCAGUAAGAACUGUUGUAUUGCAAUGCCCUCAAUGCGUGCAGUUUCAUCACCCUCCCCAUGUUGGGAUUAACCCUCGUGGAUUGAUCCCUCUAAAAGUAUGGCAAAUAGAUGUUACACAUGUUCCAGCUUUUGGAAAACUAAAAUAUGUCCAUGUUUCUAUUGACACCUGUUCAGGUAUCAUGUAUGCCUCCCCUAUGUCUGGUGAAAAAACCCACAAUGUUAUUAGCCAUUGCUUAGACUCAUGGGCAGCUUGGGAAAACCCAGCUAAUUUAAAAACUGAUAAUGGACCUGCAUAUACAUCAACAUCCUUCCAAGUCUUCUGCGAAACUAUGCAAGUUAGUCAUACCACCAGCCUUCCCUAUAGCCCACAAGGCCAAGGUAUUGUGGAAAGGGCACAUCGCACCUUGAAAGAACUGUU